GUGAAUCAUCGAAUCUUUGAACGCAAAUUGCACUUUCUGGUAUUCCGGAAAGUAUGCCUGUUUGAGGGUCAGUUAAAUCAAAAUCGGUGUUGUUGUUGCUUUUGGUUGUGACGGGUCGGAAUUGAGUUGUCUUACCUUUGUUUAAGUGACUUAAAAUAUUGCAUGAUUUUAGCAUGUAUUUAAAUUUCUUAUGUAGGUUUGAGAUAUUGAACAGUUU
rnacentral:misc_RNA from 1 species